rnacentral:rRNA from 1 species
UAGUAACGGCGAGUGAAGCGGCAACAGCUCAAAUUUGAAAUCUGGCGUCUUCGGCGUCCGAGUUGUAAUUUGCAGAGGGCGCUUUGGCAUUGGCAGCGGUCCAAGUUCCUUGGAACAGGACGUCACAGAGGGUGAGAAUCCCGUACGUGGUCGCUAGCCUUUACCGUGUAAAGCCCCUUCGACGAGUCGAGUUGUUUGGGAAUGCAGCUCUAAAUGGGAGGUAAAUUUCUUCUAAAGCUAAAUACUGGCCAGAGACCGAUAGCGCACAAGUAGAGUGAUCGAAAGAUGAAAAGCACUUUGGAAAGAGAGUUAAAAAGCACGUGAAAUUGUUGAAAGGGAAGCGCUUGCAGCCAGACUUGCCUGUAGUUGCUCAUCCGGGUUUCUACCCGGUGCACUCUUCUAUAGGCAGGCCAGCAUCAGUUUGGGCGGUUGGAUAAAGGUCUCUGUCAUGUACCUCCUUUCGGGGAGAUCUUAUAGGGGAGACGACAUGCAACCAGCCUGGACUGAGGUCCGCGCAUCUGCUAGGAUGCUGGCGUAAUGGCUGUAAGCGGCCCGUCUUGAAACACGGACCAAGGAGUCUAACAUCUAUGCGAGUGUUUGGGUGUCAAGCCCGAACGCGUAAUGAAAGUGAACGGAGGUGGGAACCUUUCGGGGUGCACCAUCGACCGAUCCUGAUGUCUUCGGAUGGAUUUGAGUAAGAGCAUAGCUGUUGGGACCCGAAAGAUGGUGAACUAUGCUUGAAUAGGGUGAAGCCAGAGGAAACUCUGGUGGAGGCUCGCAGCGGUUCUGACGUGCAAAUCGAUCGUCAAAUUUGGGCAUAGGGGCGAAAGACUAAUCGAACUAUCUAGUAGCUGGUUCCUGCCGAAGUUUCCCUCAGGAUAGCAGUAACGUUUUCAGUUUUAUGAGGUAAAGCGAAUGAUUAGAGGCCUGGGGGUUGAAACAACCUU